AGAGCCUUCGACUCAUACGAAAUGAACACUGAAAUGACUGUACAGGCUGUAUUGGAUAAUUUGAUUGAGCCAACAGAGGAAACAGCUUCAACUAAUGAACGUGACUGCAUAGUGGAAACUGUUGUAGAAGCUUCCGAUAAUUGCCACAUUGACUUGACAUCAUAUGAUGGUGACCAUGAUCAUGAUGAUGAUGAUGAUGACAUUCACUGGCAAAUUACAGU